rnacentral:rRNA from 1 species
GACGAACGCUGGCGGCGUGCUUAACACAUGCAAGUCGAACGGAAAGGCCCUGCUUUUGUGGGGUGCUCGAGUGGCGAACGGGUGAGUAACACGUGAGUAACCUGCCCUUGACUUUGGGAUAACUUCAGGAAACUGGGGCUAAUACCGGAUAGGAGCUCCUGCUGCAUGGUGGGGGUUGGAAAGUUUCGGCGGUUUGGGAUGGACUCGCGGCUUAUCAGCUUGUUGGUGGGGUAGUGGCUUACCAAGGCUUUGACGGGUAGCCGGCCUGAGAGGGUGACCGGCCACAAUGGGACUGAGAUACGGCCCAGACUCCUACGGGAGGCAGCAGUGGGGAAUAUUGCACAAUGGGCGGAAGCCUGAUGCAGCAACGCCGCGUGCGGGAUGACGGCCUUCGGGUUGUAAACCGCUUUCGCCUGUGACGAAGCGUGAGUGACGGUAAUGGGUAAAGAAGCACCGGCUAACUACGUG